rnacentral:rRNA from 1 species
AUUGAAAGCUGGCGGCAGGCCUAACACAUGCAAGUCGAACGAGUGGCGGAAGGGCGAGAAAUGUCUGGGAAACUGCCUGAUGGAGGGGGAUAACUACUGGAAACGGUAGCUAAUACCGCAUACCAUCGGAUGUGCGCAGAUGGGAUUAGCUAGUAGGUGGUGUAACGGCUCACCUAGGAGACGAACCCUAGCUGGUCUGAGAGGAUGACCAGCCACACUUGAACGUAGACACAGUCCAGGCUCCUACGGGAGGCCGCAGUGGUGAAUAUUGCACAAUGGGCGCGAGCCUGGUGCAGCCAUGCCGCGUGUAUGAAGAAGGCCUUCGGUUUGUAAAGUUCUUUCAGCGGGGAGGCGUUGCCCGCAGAAGAAGCACCGGCUAACUCCGUGCCAGCAGCCGCGGUAAUUC